GGGAGAUUGUGGAUUACAGAGAGGAUGUGACUGGGCCGUGAGAUUUUAGUUUUGAGGAAUUUUCCCAGUGCUCAAACUUAUUUCUGACCUGUUGUGUCAUAGCUCUGAGGUUAAGGGUUAGGUAUCAGUCUGUCUAAUUAAAUGUAAUCUGUAUGGAAAACCAUACUUGUGUGUGUGCAUGUAGAUUUAUAUUUUGCGCUUCUCUCUAUGUGUGUAUAUGUGAAAAAGCCAGUUUUAGCAUACCAGUUGGCAGUUAAGUGUGUUUGAGCGAGUGUGCAUGCAUUCAUGCAUGUGUACAUGGUGUAUGUGUACAUAUGCUUGUGUGUGUGUGUGUGUGUGUGUGUGUGUGUGUGUGUGUGUGUGUGUGUGUGUGUGUGUGUGUGUGUGUGUGUGUGUGUGUGUGUGUGUGUGUGUGUGUGUGUGUGUGUGUGUGUGUGUGUGUGUGUGCGUGAAUGUGUGUGUCUUCAUUUCACAGGAUAUGCUGCAAUCCCCACCCUCCUCCCCAUGGCUGUAAAGUGAAAAGGCAUUAUUUGCAUAAGCUAUAUCUGUGUGGAAGGAAGGUAACUAGCGGAGUUAGCGAAUUAUUAAGCCUCUCGGGUAUAAAAGGGUCUUGUUAAGAGAAAGGGGUGAGACAAGGAAGGGCUCUGUCCCAGUACUUCUAAAUAAUGUCCUUUCCUUCAUGUCCUUUUAGAACAGUAGUGAUGAAGGAAAGAAAAUUAGGAAACGGAGCUACUGUCAAGUAGGGGGCAAGGAGUGUGGGCAAGGAGGGGCAAGGAGUGUGAAUAGAGUGGGAGCAGAGAAGAUCUGUGAAGAUGCUACCUUCAUAAAAGACUAUGGUUUCAACUGACCUGAGCCCUAGGACCAUGCCUCAGGACUACCUGGCAUGAUGACUCCUUGCUGUCCCCAGUCCACCUGGCCGUGCUGCUGCUCCAGUUUCAACUGUUCUGCCUGCGGCUAUGGAACCCUGACCUGUUCACCGGACGUGCUUGUUGCACCCUCGACAACUACUAUGAUUAUUAUUAUUUGACCAUGCUGGUCAUUUAUGAACAUUUUAACAUCUUGACCAUGUUCUGUUAUAAUAUCCACCCUGCACAGCCAGAAGAGGACUGGCCACCCCUCAUAGCCUGGUUCCUCUCUAGGUUUCUUCCUAGGUUUUUGGCCUUUCUAGGGAGUUUUUCCUAGGAGUUUUUCCUAGCCACCGUGCUUCUUUCACAUGCAUUGCUUGCUGUUUGGGGUUUUAUGCUGGGUUUCUGUACAGCACUUUGAGAUAUCAGCUGAUGUACGAAGGGCUAUAUAAAUAAAUUUGAUUUGAUUUGACUUGUGAGCUGGGCAUAAUAAAAAAAGAACAAUAGGCCUACUGAUGAAAUUAUUUUGGAUGAACGUGCAAAGGUAGCCUACUUUUUGAAGUGAUUUUUUGACAAUCAGAUGAAAACAUCAUGACCGGUUGUGUUCAUGGCACAUUAAAAUGUAAUACAUUUUAACAGUUAAAUUACAUGUGUACUGUCACGUCCUGACCAGCAGAGGGAGUAGUUGUUUAGUAUUGUGGUCAGGACGUGGCAGAAGUACUGGGUAUGUGUUUGUCUAGUAUUUCUGUUUCUAUGUUGGUCUGUGUGGCUCCCGAUCAGGGACAUCUGGUUAUCGUUGUUCCUGAUUGGGAGUCAUAUAUUAGGAGUGUGUUUGUCACCUGGUUUUUGUGGGUUGUUGUAUUUCGCACCGCUAGUGAAUGUAUAGCCUGUGAAACUGUCACUAGUCGUUCUUGUUUAUUGGUUUCCGUGUAUGCUUUAUUCAAAAUAAAUAUAAAGAUGAGUUUUUCACAUCCCGGCUGCGUUUUGGUCGAUUCAACACGGCUACACCUAUGACAUGUGCACGUGCUCAGACUGGCCUCCGCCUGGGGCCUACAAAUCACUAAGUCCGGCCCUGUAUGCUGGUUACCAAUAACUCUAUGCUGUUUUCUUCAGCAGGGGACUGUCUGACGUGCACUUUGUAGGGGCACCACGUUAUGACAUGAUUGACAAUGAAGUUGUUGCUUUGUUUAUGACGUUUUCUGACUAGAACAGAUUAAAAAAUGAUUGACGAUAAGUUCAAAAGAAGUUCAAUACUGGGUAGAGGGAGACUGUGUUCCGUUACUCAUUUUCAUUACACAUCUAACACAGAGUAGUGUUGGGUUUCAGAGGUCCAUAGGGAUGGAGGGAGUUGUGGAGGAGGAGAAGAAAGAGGAAUACGAGGGGAAAACGUAUAGAACCCUGUCUGAUCCCAAUCUGAACCACGGUUGGAAAUGAGUGUUGUAACAGAACACUGCACGACCCCUCCGGCAACGACCGUAAUAUCCAACCAAACAAA
rnacentral:lncRNA from 1 species